UUCGCCCUUAGAGUUUGAUCCUGGCUCAGGAUGAACGCUGGCGGCGUGCUUAACACAUGCAAGUCGAACGGAGUUUAUAAGCCGGAAGUUUCGGCGGAAGGUUUGUAAACUUAGUGGCGAACGGGUGAGUAACGCGUGAGGAACCUGCCUUCCAGUGGGGGACAACAGUUGGAAACGACUGCUAAUACCGCAUGAUGCUUUUGAGAGACAUCUCUUAAAAGCCAAAGCUUUAUGUGCUGGAAGAUGGCCUCGCGUCUGAUUAGCUAGUUGGUGGGGUAACGGCCCACCAAGGCGACGAUCAGUAGCCGGUCUGAGAGGAUGAACGGCCACAUUGGGACUGAGAUACGGCCCAGACUCCUACGGGAGGCAGCAGUGGGGAAUAUUGGGCAAUGGGCGAAAGCCUGACCCAGCAACGCCGCGUGAAGGAAGAAGGCCUUCGGGUUGUAAACUUCUUUUACCAGGGACGAAGGACGUGACGGUACCUGGAGAAAAAGCAACGGCUAACUACGUGCCAGCAGCCGCGGUAAUACGUAGGUUGCAAGCGUUGUCCGGAUUUACUGGGUGUAAAGGGCGUGUAGGCGGAGAUGCAAGUUAGGAGUGAAAUCUAUGGGCUCAACCCAUAAACUGCUUCUAAAACUGUAUCCCUUGAGUAUCGGAGAGGCAAGCGGAAUUCCUAGUGUAGCGGUGAAAUGCGUAGAUAUUAGGAGGAACACCAGUGGCGAAGGCGGCUUGCUGGACGACAACUGACGCUGAGGCGCGAAAGCGUGGGGAGCAAACAGGAUUAGAUACCCUGGUAGUCCACGCUGUAAA
rnacentral:rRNA from 1 species